GAUGAACGCUGGCGGCGUGCCUAAUACAUGCAAGUCGAGCGAACAGACGAGGAGCUUGCUCCUCUGACGUUAGCGGCGGACGGGUGAGUAACACGUGGAUAACCUACCUAUUAGACUUGGAUAACUUCGGGAAACCGGAGCUAAUACCGGAUAAUAUAUUGAACCGCAUGGUUCAAUAGUGUAAGACGGUUUUGCUGUCACUUAUAGAUUGAUCCGCGCCGCAUUAGCUAGUUGGUAAGGUAACGGCUUACCAAGGCAACGAUGCGUAGCCGACCUGAGAGGGUGAUCGGCCACACUGGAACUGAGACACGGUACAGACACCUACGGGAGGCAGCAGUAGGGAAUCGUCCGCAAUGGGCGAAAGCAUGACGGAGCAACGCCGCGUGAGAGAUGAAGGUCUUCGGAUCGUAAAACUCUGUUAUUAGGGAAGAACAAAUGUGUAAGUAACUAUGCACGGAUUGACGGUACCUAAUCAGAAAGCCACGGCUAACUACGUG
rnacentral:rRNA from 1 species